rnacentral:rRNA from 1 species
GAUAACCGCUGAAAGCAUCUAAGCGGGAAACUUGCCUCAAGAUGAGAUCUCACUGGGAACUUGAUUCCCCUGAAGGGCCGUCGAAGACUACGACGUUGAUAGGCUGGGUGUGUAAGCGUUGUGAGGCCGCCAGGGCGGCGCGCGCCCGGGGUCAGCGGAA